rnacentral:lncRNA from 1 species
AGUGAUUGCUGGACUCCAAAGUUGCUUGCGGUUGGAGAACUUGCAGUACACUUUUACGUCCACCAGUAAGAACUGGGUUCCAUCCAUUGUUCUCAUGGAUGGCAUUCGGUUGUUGGAACGCGGAAGGCAAUGAUCGCCGGAUUCCAGCCACCUACAAACCAGCAGAAAAAGAGAGUUGAUUGCCUUGUCGAUCUGGUUUCACACAUCAGAGUCACGCGCUGGAAACAAACCUGGUCAGUCAGGGCAUUGUUGGCCGGUGAGAAGACGAGCUCCUUCUCCACGAGGCCGAUGUAGUUCCAGCCG